rnacentral:rRNA from 1 species
AGAGUUUGAUCCUGGCUCAGGAUGAAUGCUGGCGGCGUGGAUGAGGCAUGCAAGUCGAAUGGGCUUAGACCCAUGGCAGACGAGGUAGGAACACGUAGGUACGUACCCCAAAGUCAGGGAUAAUCUGCCGAAAGGCAGGAUAAUACUUGAUAGUCUCUUCGGAGUAAAGAUUUAUCGCUUUGGGAACGGCCUGCGGGCUAUCAGCUAGUUGGUACGGUAACGGCGUACCAAGGCUACGACGGCUAGGGGAGGUGAGAGCCUGACCCCCACCGAUGGAACUGCGACACGGUCCAUACUCCUACGGGAGGCUGCAGUCGAGAAUCUUCCGCAAUGGACGAAAGUCUGACGGAGCGACGCCGCGUGGUGGAUGAAGUCCUUAGGGACGUAAACACCUUUUAUGAGGGAGGAAAUUUUGACGUACCUCAGAAUAAGGUCAUUGUCCA